ensembl:snoRNA
CUCUAAUGAUGACUCGAGUUUUGUGCCACGUGUCUGGGCCACUGAAAGCUCAUGAUGGCUUUGAGGAACUGAAUGAG